rnacentral:rRNA from 1 species
AUGCUAGAGCCUCGAGGGGUGAUCUCCAUGGGCAGCUAUGCCAACGGCGGUGGAUACUACCACUACUCAUACUCUGUUGUGCGUGGGUGUGACCGGAUCGUCCUUGUGGACAUCUACGUCCAUGGAUGUCCUCCAACUACUGAGGCUCUAAUGUAUGGUGUUCUCCAGCUGCAAAAGAACAUCCAUAGGCGCAAUAAUUUUCUUCACUGGUGGGAGAAGUGA